rnacentral:rRNA from 1 species
AACGAACGCUGGCGGCAGGCAUAACACAUGCAAGUCGAACGCCCCGCAAGGGGAGUGGCAGACGGGUGAGUAACGCGUGGGAACAUACCCUUUUCUACGGAAUAGCUCUGGGAAACUGGAAUUAAUACCGUAUACGCCCUACGGGGGAAAGAUUUAUGGGGGAAGGAUUGGCCCGCGUUGGAUUAGCUAGUUGGUGGGGUAAAGGCCUACCAAGGCGACGAUCCAUAGCUGGUCUGAGAGGAUGAUCAGCCACAUUGGGACUGAGACACGGCCAAAACUCCUACGGGAGGCAGCAGUGGGGAAUAUUGGACAAUGGGCGCAAGCCUGAUCCGGCCAUGCCGCGUGAGUGAUAAAGGCCUUAGGGUUGUAAAGCUCUUUCACCGAUGAAGAUAAUGACGGUAGUCGGAGAAGAAGCCCCGGCUAACUUCGUGCCAGCAGCCGCCGCCGUAA